rnacentral:rRNA from 1 species
UACGUAGGUGGCAAGCGUUGUCCGGAUUUACUGGGUGUAAAGGGAGCGCAGGCGGGAGAGCAAGUCAGCGGUGAAAUCUCUGGGCUUAACCCAGAAACUGCCGUUGAAACUGUUUUUCUUGAGUGAAGUAGAGGCAAGCGGAAUUCCGAGUGUAGCGGUGAAAUGCGUAGAUAUUCGGAGGAACACCAGUGGCGAAGGCGGCUUGCUGGGCUUUUACUGACGCUGAGGCUCGAAAGUGUGGGGAGCAAAC